rnacentral:rRNA from 1 species
CUGGCGGAGGCUACACACUGCAGUGAGCGGUACAGAGAGAAGCUGCUUCUUUGCUGACGAGCGGCGGACGGGUGAGUACGCGUAGGAAUCUACCUAUUAGUGGGGGAUAAGCCAGAGAAAUUUGGUCUAAUACCGCAUACGCCCUACGGGGGAAAGGAGGGGAUCUUCGGACCUUUCGCUAUUAGAUGAGCCUGCGUAAGAUUAGCUAGUUGGUGAGGUAAUGGCUCACCAAGGCGACGAUCUUUAGCUGGUCUGAGAGGAUGAUCAGCCACACUGGGACUGAGACACGGCCCAGACUCCUACGGGAGGCAGCAGUGGGGAAUAUUGGACAAUGGGGGGAACCCUGAUCCAGCCAUGCCGCGUGUGUGAAGAAGGCCUUCGGGUUGUAAAGCACUUUCAGAUGUGAGGAAAGGUGAGUAGUUAAUACCUGCUUACUGUGACGUUAGCAUCAGAAGAAGGACCGGCUAACUCCGUGCCAGCAGCCGCGGUAAUACGGAGGGUCCGAGCGUUAAUCGGAAUUACUGGGCGUUAAGCGCGCGUAGGUGGUUUGGCAGUCAGACGUGGAAACCCAGGGGUCAACCCUGGGACUGCGGCUGGAU